rnacentral:rRNA from 1 species
AUUGAACGCUGGCGGCAUGCUUUACACAUGCAAGUCGAACGGUAACAGGUUAAGCUGACGAGUGGCGAACGGGUGAGUAAUGCAUCGGAUCGUGCCCGGUCGUGGGGGAUAACGCAGCGAAAGCUGCGCUAAUACCGCAUACGAUCUGAGGAUGAAAGCGGGGGACCGUAAGGCCUCGCGCGAUCGGAGCGGCCGAUGUCAGAUUAGGUAGUUGGUGGGGUAAAGGCUCACCAAGCCAACGAUCUGUAGCUGGUCUGAGAGGACGACCAGCCACACUGGGACUGAGACACGGCCCAGACCCCUGCGGGAGGCAGCAGUGGGGAAGUUUGGACAAUGGGCGAAAGCCUGAUCCAGCAAUGCCGCGUGCAGGAAGAAGGCCUUCGGGUUGUAAACUGCUUUUGUACGGAGCGAAAAGGUCCUUUCUAAUACAAGGGGCUCAUGACGGUACCGUAAGAAUAAGCACCGGCUAACUACGUGCCAGCAGCCGCCGUAA